rnacentral:rRNA from 1 species
GACGAACGCUGGCGGCGUGCUUAACACAUGCAAGUCGAACGGAAAGGCUCCAGCUUGCUGGAGUACUCGAGUGGCGAACGGGUGAGUAACACGUGGGUAAUCUGCCCUGCACUCUGGGAUAAGCCUGGGAAACUGGGUCUAAUACUGGAUAUGACCUUUCUCCUCAUGGGGUUUGGUGGAAAGUUUUUCGGUGUAGGAUGAGCCCGCGGCCUAUCAGCUUGUUGGUGGGGUGAUGGCCUACCAAGGCGACGACGGGUAGCCGGCCUGAGAGGGUGAUCGGCCACAUUGGGACUGAGAUACGGCCCAGACUCCUACGGGAGGCAGCAGUGGGGAAUAUUGCACAAUGGGCGGAAGCCUGAUGCAGCGACGCCGCGUGAGGGAUGACGGCCUUCGGGUUGUAAACCUCUUUCAGCAGGGACGAAGCGUGAGUGACGGUACCUGCAGAAGAAGCACCGGCUAACUAUGUG